GACAGAGGUCCCGAGCGUUAGGCGGAAUCACUGGGCUUAAAGCGUGUGUAGGCGGAUGCCUAAGUACCUUGUGAAAUCCCACGGCUCACCCGUGGAACUGCUUGGUAUACUGGGUGUCUUGAGCCACUUAGGGGCUACCGGAACAAAUGGUGGAGCGGUGAAGUGCGUAGAUAUCAUUUGGAACGCCAAUGGUGAAAACAGGUAGCUGGGAGUGUGCUGACGCUGAGACACGAAAGCCAGGGGAGCAAACGGG
rnacentral:rRNA from 1 species